AAAAUUAGUAAAAAUUAAACAUAUUAACUUAUCCAAAAUAUAUCUAAAAUUCUAUAUAUGAAAAUCUCCAAAAAUCUGGUGCGACAAAACUAAAGCACAUAACUAAGAAUUCACAUUAAUUGUUUGUCUAACGAAUAUUAUACUGCCGCAUGCUGCAAAAGAAAUGCCUUUCAAAUGGAGUGAUCAACAAGACAACGAACAGAAACGCACUGCUUUUUAUGUAAAACAGUGGUUUAUUGAUAACAUGAUUGAGGUUUCGAAGUGACCCGCAUAAUCACCAGAUCUCAAUCCCAUAGAGAACCAAUGGGAAAUUGUGGAUCGAAAAAUCAGACGUAAGAAUUGUAAAAAUAA